AGACGGUAAGCAGACUGCUGGGAUGUGACAGCAGCUCUUCUUUGUAUUGUGUUAACUGAAAACAACUAUUUUAGUUGGCUGUUUUACAGCCUGCCAGCUCGUCUGCAGGGUGGAUCUGAACAAACGUGUCCACACAGCAUCUGAAACUUUAUCAUUUGUUAUUAUUUCUCCUCUGGCUCGCAGGCUGCGUACUGAGGGAAGAAGAUUUCACGCAGCAGGACGUUUCGGGAACUGAUUUUCUCCAGCGUCGCCUGCGUCCUCCGUUCAGCUGCCCGGAUACGACUCCGUCUCCCGCCGUCCCCACGUCCGGUGUUUCUGCUCUUGCCUCAUUCGACCUGAAGGAAACUCCCCAGAACUGCAGGAGCUGGUUGAGAUUAAUUAUGAAUUCCAGCCACCAUCUGGUACAAGACGGGACACUGGUGCCACAAAGGGAGUUCCUGUCCACAUGACCCCCUUGAGCCAAUCAGGAGCAGUGUUCAACUGUCACCCAAAACAAUCUUUGGGAAAAAUUAAUUUGAGGCGUACUCUGAUUUUCAGUUUGGCAGAUGGGGAGGCGUUCAUGAGCUGUACUGCAUCCAGCCACCAGGGGGCCAUACAGAUGUUGUGUGAAUAAUAUAUGUAUAAAGUCACUCAGUGUUGUAGUCGAGUCACCAAACUUCGAGUCCGAGUCCAGUUUCGAGUUCCCAUUGUUUGAGUCUGAGUCAAGUCCAAGUCAUUAAAGGAAAAGAGUCGAGUCCAAGUCGAGUCCACUACUGAUCCGAGUCAAGUCCGAGUCAAGUCCAAUCCAAAUAAUAUUUUUGUAUAAUGUUGAACAUAGAUAUUAUCUUAUGCCAAAUUACUCUGGUAUAUUACAUAAAAUAAAAUAAAAUUCUGAGGACUCGU